rfam:Strongylocentrotus purpuratus Contig29908_fixed, whole genome shotgun sequence.
AUAACAGCUCUUUUCAGAGCUACAUCUUCAUUAAUAGACAAAAGCU